UGAUUUACCAUCCUUUCCCUCAGUUAGGUUGUGCUCAGUUUCAAGCCAGCAGGAACCUAAGAGCUGCUGCUUGUGCUCACUCCAGAAGAGCUGCUGGGAAAAUUCUGGAUUUGUUCUUUCUGAAUCUGAAGGCUUGUGUUUCUUUUGAGACUGAUGGAUUAGGAUUGUUGGUGAUUCUGAGAUUUGGAAUGAGGAUUAGAGUUGUGGUUAUGGAAUAAAGAGGUGCAGAAAUGAACCAAUGGCUUUCUUUUGAGUUUAUAAACUGUAAUAUACUCUAAUGCCUGUGUUGGGGAUAAUUAUCUUCGUGUAGAACCCAGACUGGAAAUGUUUAUUGGUUUUAUGUGAAGAUCCAGAUCAUGUGCAAGCAGAGUUCUACAAAACCCAGCUUGGAAGCCAAAUCUGAAAGUAUUCCUUGUUAAAAUGCUGGAUAUGUCAAUGUUAUAACUGGAACUGCAGGAACCCAAGGCCUCCAAUGCAAACCUGGCACCUUUUAUAAGCUUUGAAAAGAAAUCCUAGGAAUGUGGGCAUCCCCCAGAGCCUGCCCACACCGCUGGGGAGCAUCUGCCAUGCAAGAUGAGAAAGUUCUCCUCACUAUUGCAGGAAACUGCUUUCCAUCUCGGUCCUUCUGCUUCCGCAGGAGGAACUUGUGGUGCUCGGAAGGCGCUGCAGAGAGACGGCGGUGCCGUGCCGUGAGCCCUCGUCGGGACACUCCGGUACAGGAGGUGACAGAACCUCACAGACAGCCUUUUUACCAAGACUUCCAACAACAUUAUCCUUUACUGCAAACCCUAUCAGGGUUUGUUGUGGAACACAUCAGAGAACAUUGCACAAUCCCUGAAGAGAUGUCAACUAUAAGGAUCCAGGGAUUAACAACUCCAGGUUGCAUUUUCAAUCCUGAAACAUGAAGUGUGUCCUUACAGAUCAAUGCCCUUUGGCAUUAUUUUCUGAAAUAUGUGUGGCAAAUGUGUUUUUUUUCCUACAGUCUGAAAUUUAAUGUAAGAUCUCCCACUCCUGCUUGCCCAGCAAUUUGCUGGUGCAGGGACAUAUGGAAGCUAAAGGCUGGCUGGACCUGUUCGUUCCUUUCAUGCAGAUUUCCAGCUUCUGGAGUGGAAAUUCCAGCAGGAACAACUGAAUUAGCCUCUUUAUUCUUUUUAGGUUUCUUAUUUAUAGAUCCUGGAAGGGUGCUUGACUGAGAAUUGGUGUGUUCCCCUCCUUUGUAACCAGCCUCUUGCCCAUCUUAAAAUAACUCUUGCCCUGGAUUACAGGGGCUGGCAUUCAGUUACAUUGGUCUCUAGUGUUACAGACCAUCCACGGUCCCUCCGUGGCUCACGGGCACAGGGACUGAUCCCAUGCACAAUCCCAUGGAUGGGUUCUUUGGGCAGAGCUCAGGAGCCCAGAUUAUCCAGUCUUAAAGGCUGUUUCUUUGUGCAGCCAGGCCAGUGUAUCUCAGUGUCACCCAUUUAUCUUUAAGCAAAUGGUUUAUCUUAAGAAAAAAAUAGAUUAAACACACUUGUUCAUCUGGCUCUCCUGUACCAUUGCACAUAAAUAGCUGAAAAGUGCCAAUAAAACAACUGUUUUCUAAA